CUGUCGCCCCCCAGCUCUGUGCGUCUCUGCCUCUCCCCGGGCGGCUCAGUGUUGGCUCCCUGCAGGUGUGUAACGGGCUGGCGGACUGCGCUGAUGGCAGCGAGGCCUCAGGCUGGCUGCCCUCGGACGAACAGGACUGCGGGCUCUGGAGCCCCUGGGCCCCCUGGAGCACCUGCAGCCGGUCCUGUGGGACGGGCCUGCAGAUCCGCAGGCGGGUCUGCACCAGACGGGCCAACGACGUCCUGCGCCACUGCCACGGCGAGGAGACACAGGCCCAGCAGUGCUUCGCCCUGGCCUGCCCAGUGGAUGGUGCCUGGAGCGAGUGGGCGACGUGGGCGAACUGCACCCAGGACUGCCGCGGGGUGGUGGUGCGGCGCCGGGAGUGCAUCCCGCCCCGGAACGGGGGCCAGCACUGCUCUGAGCUGCCCGGAGUCUCGCCCAGCACGCUGGAGAUCAGUGAGUCCGUGGGGCGGUGAUGGGGGUCCCCUGCUCUGGGCAUGGCCGGCAUCCAUGCUGAGUAGCGGC
rnacentral:lncRNA from 1 species